AACGAACGCUGGCGGCAUGCCUAACACAUGCAAGUCGAACGAGACCUUCGGGUCUAGUGGCGCACGGGUGCGUAACGCGUGGGAACCUGCCCUUAGGUUCGGAAUAACUCCCCGAAAGGGGUGCUAAUACCGGAUAAUGUCUUCGGACCAAAGAUUUAUCGCCUUUGGAUGGGCCCGCGUUGGAUUAGCUAGUUGGUAGGGUAAAAGCCUACCAAGGCGACGAUCCCUAGCUGGUCUGAGAGGAUGAUCAGCCACACUGGGACUGAGACACGGCCCAGACUCCUACGGGAGGCAGAAGUGGGGAAUAUUGGACAAUGGGCGAAAGCCUGAUCCAGCAAUGCCGCGUGAGUGAUGAAGGCCUUAGGGUUGUAAAGCUCUUUUACCCGGGAUGAUAAUGACAGUACCGGGAGAAUAAGCUCCGGCUAACUCCGUG
rnacentral:rRNA from 1 species